AUCGCUUCUUGGCCUUUUGGCUAAGAUCAAGUGUAGGUCCUCAAUCCAUUUUGAGUUUCUUUUUGUAUAUACUUUUAGAAAGAGGUCCAGUUUUAACCUUUU
rnacentral:snRNA from 1 species